rnacentral:rRNA from 1 species
GACGAACGCUGGCGGCGUGCUUAACACAUGCAAGUCGGACGAUGAACCCGGAGCUUGCUCCGGUGGAUUAGUGGCGAACGGGUGAGUAACACGUGAGUAACCUGCCCUUGACUCUGGGAUAACUGCGGGAAACUGUAGCUAAUACCGGAUACGACCCUCGGCGGCAUCGCCAGGGGGUGGAAAGAAUUUCGGUCAAGGAUGGACUCGCGGCCUAUCAGCUAGUUGGUGAGGUAACGGCUCACCAAGGCGACGACGGGUAGCCGGCCUGAGAGGCGGACCGGCCACACUGGGACUGAGACACGGCCCAGACUCCUACGGGAGGCAGCAGUGGGGAAUAUUGCACAAUGGGCGCAAGCCUGAUGCAGCAACGCCGCGUGAGGGAUGACGGCCUUCGGGUUGUAAACCUCUUUUAGUAGGGAAGAAGCGAAAGUGACGGUACCUGCAGAAAAAGCACCGGCUAACUACGUGCCAGCCGCCGCGGUAA